GCCAGCCGCCGCGGUAAUACCGGCGGCUCGAGUGGUGGCCACUAUUACUGGGCUUAAAGCGUCCGUAGCUGGAUUGUUAAGUCUCUUGGGAAAUCCGCCGGCUUAACCGGCGGGCGUUCAGGAGAAACUGGCAAUCUAGGGACCGGGAGAGGUGAGAGGUACUCCAGGGGUAGGAGUGAA
rnacentral:rRNA from 1 species